AUUGAACGCUGGCGGCAUGCCUUACACAUGCAAGUCGAACGGCAGCGGACCUUCGGGUGCCGGCGAGUGGCGAACGGGUGAGUAAAGUAUCGGAACGUACCUUUCAGUGGGGGAUAACGUAGCGAAAGUUACGCUAAUACCGCAUAUUCUCUGAGGAGGAAAGCAGGGGACCUUCGGGCCUUGCGCUGAUGGAGCGGCCGAUAUCAGAUUAGCUAGUUGGUGGGGUAAAGGCCUACCAAGGCGACGAUCUGUAGCGGGUCUGAGAGGAUGAUCCGCCACACUGGGACUGAGACACGGCCCAGACUCCUACGGGAGGCAGCAGUGGGGAAUUUUGGACAAUGGGCGAAAGCCUGAUCCAGCCAUGCCGCGUGAGUGAAGAAGGCCUUCGGGUUGUAAAGCUCUUUCGGCCGGGAAGAAAUCGUGUGGGCUAAUACCCUGCAUGGAUGACGGUACCGGAAUAAGAAGCACCGGCUAACUACGUGCCAGCCGCCGCAGUAAUAC
rnacentral:rRNA from 1 species